UCAAUCUGUUUCAUGUGUAACUCAAACUAGCUCCAGACUGGGCCCGUGGAAGAAACAGCCAUCAGUGGCCAAGGAGUGUUAGGUCACACAGGGUGCAGGAAUUGCUGGAAUAUUUCUUUCAAUAAUGCAGCCCUCAUUGGAACCAAACUGUAAACAUGGUAACAAUGCUUAGCAACUCUUGGAACAAGAUCUGGCCUUCCCUUCAUCCUCAAGGAACAUAAAGAUGUAGUAGCAUGCGUCCCUGCCAGGACAUCUCUGCAAUGAUACUGCUCCUGAGGAUUUGCAAGCAGUCAUGCUCACUCAACAUUUUUUUGGAAAUUAUGCCUGAAAAAGAGACAGGAGUUCUACCCAGACUGCUGCUUAUCCCUGCAUGAUUCAUCAGGUAGUGAUCCUCUACACCUGCAGUGAAGUGACAAGCUUUCAGCUGCUCUCUUAGGGAAAAAAAAAAACAAAAAACAAAAAAACCCCCAGUAUGGUUUUAUCUAUAAACUUCCUAGAAACUUGAUAGAUUUUGUUUUCUUGAAAAUGUUUGUAGUCUUGGAGUACCAAUGCCAGAGAAG